GGGCCGGUAGCUCAGCUAGGUAGAGCGGCGGUCGGAACCCGUAGGUCCCGGGUUCGAAUCCCGGCCGGCCCG
rnacentral:tRNA from 1 species